AGUGAACGCUGGCGGUAGGCCUAACACAUGCAAGUCGAACGGCAGCACAGUAAGAGCUUGCUCUUACGGGUGGCGAGUGGCGGACGGGUGAGGAAUACAUCGGAAUCUACUUUUUCGUGGGGGAUAACGUAGGGAAACUUACGCUAAUACCGCAUACGACCUACGGGUGAAAGCAGGGGAUCUUCGGACCUUGCGCGAUUGAAUGAGCCGAUGUCGGAUUAGCUAGUUGGCGGGGUAAAGGCCCACCAAGGCGACGAUCCGUAGCUGGUCUGAGAGGAUGAUCGGCCACACUGGAACUGAGAAACGGUCCCGACUCCUACGGGAGGCAGCAGUGGGAAUAUUGGACAAUGGGCGCAAGCCUGAUCCAGCCAUACCGCGUGGGUGAAGAAGGCCUUCGGGUUGUAAAGCCCUUUUGUUGGGAAAGAAAAGCAGCAGGUUAAUACCCCGCUGUUCUGACGGUACCCAAAGAAUAAGCACCGGCUAACUUCGUG
rnacentral:rRNA from 1 species